GUCGAUUUCCACCUCUUUCAUGAACUUUUUCAACAUGGUCUAUUAACGAUGAAACCGAAGAAAACUUAGAGCUACAUUGUGGACAUUGCUCAACUUGUCCAUUUCCACCUCUACCGUUGCUGCUGCUACCAGAUGUGAUCCAAGUUUGACUGAAUUCAUUUGACAACUUUGUCAUGCUUGCCUCGGCUGAGGCUUUAACAGAUG
rnacentral:misc_RNA from 1 species